rnacentral:lncRNA from 1 species
AACAAGAAUGCAAGAAGAUUAUCAGCAAGCUUUGAGUGCCAGGGAGAAGAAACUGAGGCCGGACAAAGGAACUCCCUUUAGUCGGUAGUGAUUUUUGUGUAAACACAUGCAUGCUCGUUAUUGCGAAGAAAUUAACUCUUGGAUCUAAUUUUGUAGUUCAAAAUGUGUUUUGCAUAUACUUGGAUUCAAGUAGUAAAAAAUGAAUAAAUUUGCCGCCUAAUUCAUUAGCUCGUUCAGUGAGACAAAUUAUAGUAUCAAUGACUAUUUUUUAUUUGAUCUCAGCAGCAUGGCAUGAAUUCAAGGUCAUGAUUAUGUAGCUAUAAACAUUACGGGCAAAAUGAGUUUCAGUCGAUAAAAUUGGAGUCGUGUUCCAAACAAUUGAAACACUGGCAAUCAGAUUAUAACCAUAUACUGGAUACAGAUUAUUACCUGCUGCUUGUUUCUUCUAAUUACUAGCGAAACAGGUAUUGCCAAUGUAUGAAGUAGGAUUGUAUAAGCAUUGGAAACAAAUCCUGUAAUUCUGUUACAUUUAACACGAUGAAACAUGUAGAUCAUAUUCUGCUUUAUUUUCUCAUGUCCUGAUUACAUAACUUGAGCUUGAACACUUGGGAGUUACUCCCUCCGUUCCGUAAUAUAAGAGUAUUUUUGAUAUUUACAGAGUGUGAUGACAGUCUUAGGGAAACAUAUAGAAUAACUAAUAAAAUAUCUUUGUUGCUUAGGCCAUUUAAGUUGAAUGGAUUUAUUUUGAACUUUCAUUUAUCAAAUUUCUCAAUGCUGCAAACCAUCUCCCAGCUAGGACGUGACAGAAUGGAUGGUUUUGUACAUUGAACAUGCCGACAUGACUGUAAACUUGGUGUGAGUUCAACAAAGGAAUGAUUAAGUCAUGUUCCAAAUUAUAGAAUUUCGAAUAUAUGCUUAAAUGAGUCCCUUUUCUUUUAAAUAUGGAUAAAUACACAUUAUCAUUAAAAGUCUAUGCACAACUCAUUACCCUUAGCGUAUGAUCUGUGCACACUGUUUUGUAUUAUUCUGUUUCGACAAUUUUACUUAAGUGUCCAUGCUUUUGUGUCUUCCCUGUUAUUGUCCAUGGCCACUCAUAGUUUUCACAUGUCUUCUUUUCAAUUAUCUUGGUUGAACCGGGUCAUCAAACUGAUUCUUGCGGAGUUGUUUGGUGUUUUGACAGGAUCUUUUGAUAGGAGAGGCCACAAGAGGGGGGCAACAAAACUGUUGGUUGUGAUCAUGGCUUCAGUAUCGGGUGUUAUGAUAUUCAACAUGAGCUAUCGUAGGCCUUCUGUUAUGUGCAAUUUUUAUGAUUGUGUCCUAAAAACACAUCUCUGUUUCUCAUUCAAGUCAAAGCGAAUAAAACAAGUUUCAUGCAUUUCAUGUCUACAACUUCUAUAUAAAAAACAUUUGGGUACCUGGCUAAAAGAAAUUGACAUUGCCUCAGUCUCCUCUCUUGCUGCUAGCUGCGAACCUGAAGAAGAGAGAUAUUAAUGGUAUCUGUGCCAAGUAUAACUGGUAUCCUACGAGGGAUAAAACUUUUUUUAUUGAAGGGUGCAGCAGCGAGUGUUGGUCUAUUUGGCUGAGCAUGAGUUAUAAGUCGGUGUGUCAAAUCAGAGGAUGAAGCCGGAUGUUAUCUAAAAAAUGCUGGCUAGGUAAGUUAUUUGUGUGUUUU